rnacentral:tRNA from 1 species
GCCUGGGUGGCUCAGUUGGUUAAGCGUGAGACUCUUGAUCUCGGCCCAGGUCGUGAUCUCGAGGUUCAUGGGUUCGAGCCCCACUUCGGGCU